rnacentral:rRNA from 1 species
AGUUAAGUGACUAAGCGUACACGGUGGAUGCCUAGGCAAUCAGAGGCGAAGAAGGACGUGCUAAUCUGCGAAAAGCUUGGAUGAGUUGAUAAGAAGCGUUUAAUCCAAGAUAUCCGAAUGGGGAAACCCGAUGGAUGAAGAAUCCAUCAUUUCAUUAUGAAUCCAUAGUAAUGAAAGGCAAACCGGGAGAACUGAAACAUCUAAGUACCCCGAGGAAAAGAAAUCAAUCGAGAUUUUGUAAGUAGCGGCGAGCGAAAGCGAAAGAGCCAGUGAGUGAUAGCAGCAAAGACAGAAGAAUUGGCUGGGAAGCCAAGCGACACAGGGUGAUAGCCCCGUAUUCGAAGUUUUUGUUGUGGUACUAAGCUUGCAACAAGUAGGGCGGGACACGAGAAAUCCUGUUUGAAGAUGGGGGGACCAUCCUCCAAGGCUAAAUACUCCUGAUUGACCGAUAGUGAACCAGUACUGUGAAGGAAAGGCGAAAAGAACCCCAGUGAGGGGAGUGAAAUAGAACCUGAAACCGUGUACGUACAAGCAGUGGGAGCCCUUUGGGGUGACUGCGUACCUUUUGUAUAAUGGGUCAGCGACUUAUAUUUUGUAGCGAGGUUAACUGAAUAAGGGAGCCGAAGGGAAACCGAGUCUUAACUGGGCGGAUAGUUGCAAGGUAUAGACCCGAAACCCGGUGAUCUAGCCAUGGGCAGGUUGAAGGUUGGGUAACACUAACUGGAGGACCGAACCGACUAAUGUUGAAAAAUUAGCGGAUGACUUGUGGCUGGGGGUGAAAGGCCAAUCAAACCGGGAGAUAGCUGGUUCUCCCCGAAAUCUAUUUAGGUAGAGCCUUAUGUGAAUACCUUCGGGGGUAGAGCACUGUUUCGGCUAGGGGUCCAUCCCGGAUUACCAACCCGAUGCAAACUGCGAAUACCGAAGAGUAAUGCAUAGGAGACACACGGUGGGUGCUAACGUCCAUCGUGGAGAGGGAAACAACCCAGACCGCCAGCUAAGGUCCCAAAGUCUAUAUUAAGUGGGAAACGAAGUGGGAAGGCUUAGACAGCUAGGAUGUUGGCUUAGAAGCAGCCAUCAUUUAAAGAAAGCGUAAUAGCUCACUAGUCGAGUCGGCCUGCGCGGAAGAUGUAACGGGGCUAAAAUAUAGCACCGAAGCUGCGGCAUCAGACGUAUCACUAAUACGCCUUACGAUUAACAACAUCGAAUGAAGUGAAACGGAAAGAGAUGUUGGUCAAGCAACCCGAACGUUGAGUCGGAAAGUAAUCGAAGAGAGGAUUAUUAGUGAUACGUCUGUUGGGUAGGGGAGCGUUGUGUAAGCGGAUGAAGGUGAAUCGAGAGGUUUGCUGGACGUAUCACAAGUGCGAAUGCUGACAUAAGUAACGAUAAAACGAGUGAAAAACUCGUUCGCCGGAAGACCAAGGGUUCCUGUCCAACGUUAAUCGGGGCAGGGUGAGUCGGCCCCUAAGGCGAGGCUGAAAAGCGUAGUCGAUGGGAAACGGGUUAAUAUUCCCGUACUUGGUUNNNNNNNNNNNNNNNNNNNNNNNNNNNNNNNNNNNNNNNNNNNNNNNNNNNNNNNNNNNNNNNNNNNNNNNNNNNNNNNNNNNNNNNNNNNNNNNNAUAAACCGUACUGAAAACCGACACAGGUGGUCAGGUAGAGAAUACUCAGGCGCUUGAGAGAACUCGGGUGAAGGAACUAGGCAAAAUAGCACCGUAACUUCGGGAGAAGGUGCGCUGGCGUAGGUUGUAGGAGUAUACCUCCGAAGGCUGAACCAGUCGAAGAUACCAGCUGGCUGCAACUGUUUAUUAAAAACACAGCACUCUGCAAACACGAAAGUGGACGUAUAGGGUGUGAUGCCUGCCCGGUGCUGGAAGGUUAAUUGAUGGUGUUAUCGAAAGAGAAGCUCCUGAUCGAAGCCCCAGUAAACGGCGGCCGUAACUAUAACGGUCCUAAGGUAGCGAAAUUCCUUGUCGGGUAAGUUCCGACCUGCACGAAUGGCAUAAUGAUGGCCAGGCUGUCUCCACCCGAGACUCAGUGAAAUUGAAAUCGCCGUGAAGAUGCGGUGUACCCGCGGCUAGACGGAAAGACCCCGUGAACCUUUACUAUAGCUUGACACUGAACAUUGAAUUUUGAUGUGUAGGAUAGGUGGGAGCCUAAGAAGCAGUCACGCCAGUGAUUGUGGAGGCGUCCUUGAAAUACCACCCUUUAACGUUUGAUGUUCUAACGAAGAUUGCGAAACGCGGUCUCGGACAGUGUCUGGUGGGUAGUUUGACUGGGGCGGUCUCCUCCCAAAGAGUAACGGAGGAGCACGAAGGUUUGCUAAUCACGGUCGGACAUCGUGAGGUUAGUGCAAUGGUAUAAGCAAGCUUAACUGCGAGACAGACAAGUCGAGCAGGUGCGAAAGCAGGUCAUAGUGAUCCGGUGGUUCUGAAUGGAAGGGCCAUCGCUCAACGGAUAAAAGGUACUCCGGGGAUAACAGGCUGAUACCGCCCAAGAGUUCAUAUCGACGGCGGUGUUUGGCACCUCGAUGUCGGCUCAUCACAUCCUGGGGCUGAAGUAGGUCCCAAGGGUAUGGCUGUUCGCCAUUUAAAGUGGUACGCGAGCUGGGUUUAGAACGUCGUGAGACAGUUCGGUCCCUAUCUGCCGUGGGCGUUGGAGAAUUGAGAGGGGCUGCUCCUAGUACGAGAGGACCGGAGUGGACGCAUCACUGGUGUACCAGUUGUCUCGCCAGAGGCACUGCUGGGUAGCUAAAUGCGGAAGAGAUAAGUGCUGAAAGCAUCUAAGCACGAAACUCGCCUUAAGAUGAGUUCUCCCAGUCUAUAAGACUGUAAGGGUUGUUGGAGACUACGACGUAGAUAGGUCUGGUGUGUAAGCGGUGUGAGCCGUUGAGCUAACAGAUACUAAUUGCCCGAGAGGCUUAACUAU